GGGGGUUUAGCUCAGUUGGCAGAGCGUUCGCUUAGCACGGCACAGCAUCUCUGGAGCUGUUCAAGUGGUCUGCGAAAGGUCGCGUGUUCGACUCAUGCAGUCUCCA
rnacentral:tRNA from 2 species